AACACAACAGGAUGUGGUAAGUUUUCUUAAACCACACACUUAUCUUUUUGGAACAUGGGUGUGUCUAUUACAAAGCUAUUAACUCAAACUUUCUGAAAAUGAAAGUGUGUUCACCUUUUAUUUUUAUUUGAAGAAUAAAUAAAAUAGGACAAAGACCAGAAAUGAACACACACCCAUAUUUAUAAACAUAAUUAAUCAAAGAUUAAUUUGAAGCCUUCUUAUGUUGGACUGGUUAUGCACAGUAAAACCUUUUUUUUGUUUGUUGAGGGGUUUUUUUUUUAACUACAAACACUUGAAUUUGUUAUGGAUUUCCUUUAAUUCUGAGAUGGUCCAAUGUAUCAGCAGCAACAAUAACCUCAGUAUGAUGCUACCACUACCAGGCUUAACUGUUGGUACAUUGUUUACAAUCUUUUCCUUAAAUGCAGGGAUAUUACCAAAAAAAGGGUUAAAUCUCUUAAAAAGAAACAUUAAAAUGAGAGUUUUGUUGUUAUACAUGCAAUUCUAGUAGAUGUAAAUUUUAGUACAUAGAACAAAUAAAUUCCAGAUAAAGAAAUAGUCCAUAUGUGAUGUAAUGCUUAUGACAAAACCACAUGACACCAGCCAAUAUAUUCUUUUAUGAUAUAAGGAAUUUUU